GGGCAAAGGGCGGGGUGCUUACACAUGCAGUCGAACGAUGAAGCCCUUACAGGGGUGGAUUAGUGGCGAACGGGUGAGUAACACGUGGGCAAUCUGCCCUGCACUCUGGGACAAGCCCUGGAAACGGGGUCUAAUACCGGAUAUUGACCAUCGCGGGCAUCCGUGAUGGUGGAAAGCUCCGGCGGUGCAGGAUGAGCCCGCGGCCUAUCAGCUUGUUGGUGAGGUAAUGGCUCACCAAGGCGACGACGGGUAGCCGGCCUGAGAGGGCGACCGGCCACACUGGGACUGAGACACGGCCCAGACUCCUACGGGAGGCAGCAGUGGGGAAUAUUGCACAAUGGGCGAAAGCCUGAUGCAGCGACGCCGCGUGAGGGAUGACGGCCUUCGGGUUGUAAACCUCUUUCAGCAGGGAAGAAGCGAAAGUGACGGUACCUGCAGAAGAAGCGCCGGCUAACUACGUGCCAGCAGCCGCGGUAAUACGUAGGGCGCGAGCGUUGUCCGGAAUUAUUGGGCGUAAAGAGCUCGUAGGCGGCUUGUCGCGUCGGUUGUGAAAGCCCGGGGCUUAACCCCGGGUCUGCAGUCGAUACGGGCAGGCUAGAGUUCGGUAGGGGAGAUCGGAAUUCCUGGUGUAGCGGUGAAAUGCGCAGAUAUCAAGAGGAACACCGGUGGCCAACGCGGAUCUCUGGGCUUAUACUGACGCUGAAGAAGGGAAACCAUGGCGUGUUGAACUCGGAUUAGAUUACCCUGCUAAUCCGACGCUAUAAACCGGAGAGAC
rnacentral:rRNA from 1 species